CCAAUAUUUUACAAGGAAAUAUGCAUUUAUUGUUUUCUUUGUCUAAGCAGUGCUGGAAGGUCUUCAAAAAAGAAAUAACAAGCUCCUAACAAACAGUUAAAAAAUGUUCAACUAAAUUUAAAAAAAAAACACAGGCCAACUAGACUUAAAUAAGAUAAUCAAGGUUUGAAUGGCAAAUUAAAACAUAUACAUACUACAUACAGCACAAUAGCUUAGAAACUGUAGCUCUUAUGGUUCUAGGGACCUUUCUUAUAUCUAUUUGCAGACCAUAGUCCGCAAAAACGCAUCCCAAGGACUAAACAAGCUAUGUUUCUGCAGCUAACCACAAACAGACAACACUGACAAACAAAAUCUUACACAAUACAAAUGAACUUUUUUGAAACUAGAGAAAUAACAG
rnacentral:lncRNA from 1 species